CUGCUCAAGCGCCGUGACCAGUCUCCUUUUUUUUCUCAAACUGU
rnacentral:ribozyme from 1 species